rnacentral:rRNA from 1 species
AACGGCGAGUGAAACGGGAGGAGCCCAGCCCUGAAUCCCGCAGGCGUAUGUCUGUUGGGAACUGUGGGGUUUAGGAGUGUCUCUGAGGCGGUAGUGCAUCGUCUGCGUUCUCUUGAGCGAGGCUUGACCCAGAGCGGGUGUAAGGCCUAUAUGACUUUGCCGAUCGUCGCUAGGGCGCUCCUUGGAGUCGGGUUGUUUGAGAAUGCAGCCCAAAGUGGGUGGUAAACUCCAUCUAAGGCUAAAUACUGGCACGAGUCCGAUAGCAAACAAGUACCGUGAGGGAAAGUUGAAAAGCACUUUGAAGAGAGAGUUGGACAGUACGUGAAACCGUUUACAGGUAAACGGAAGGGACCGUAAAGUCAGCUUCGGGGAUUCAAUUCACUGCAUGGGUUAUCCGGUGUCGGUGGCGCCAAGCCAAAGCCGCCCGGCUCGUUUCUGUGAGUGGACGCAUUUUCCCGUCGCUGAGCGCCACAACUGUUUGUCUAACCAUCAGAGGUGCCCGGACAAGGUAGCCACUGGCUUCGGUCAGUGGAACUUAUAGGUCCGUGGAGUUGCUGACUGGUUGGGUGAGCGAGGAGCUCGGGCCGCGUACUUGCCUUUCUGGUCUCCUGGCUGCCGUCGACUGGCAUGGACUGCUUGCAGUGCACGCUGACAUUCGGUGUUAGGGUAAGACUAGUUUGGCGGUGCGUGUACAGGGUUCGUGGCGAUAUGUCGGCACCCCAUCCGACCCGUCUUGAAACACGGACCAAGGAGUCUAACAUGUGCGCAAGUCAAAGGGACUACCGAAUCCCCAGGGCGCAAUUAAUGUGAAAAGGUGUGAUCCGGGGCAACCUGGCGCAACACCGCCCCGUCUCGUGACCUUUGUGUCUGAGGCGGAGGUUGAGCGUACAUGUUAGGACCCGAAAGAUGGUGAACUAUGCCUGAGUAGGUUGAAGCCAGAGGAAACUCUGGUGGAGGACCGUAGCGAUUCUGACGUGCAAAUCGAUCGUCGAAC